rnacentral:rRNA from 1 species
GAUGAACGCUGGCUACAGGCUUAACACAUGCAAGUCGAGGGGAAACGACGGGGAAGCUUGCUUCCCCGGGCGUCGACCGGCGCACGGGUGAGUAACGCGUAUCCAACCUGCCUCUGACUGAGGGAUAACCCGUCGAAAGUCGGCCUAAUACCUCAUGGCAUCGUCUGCGGGCAUCCAACGACGAUUAAAGAUUUCAUCGGUCAGAGAUGGGGAUGCGUCUGAUUAGCUUGUUGGCGGGGUAACGGCCCACCAAGGCGACGAUCAGUAGGGGUUCUGAGAGGAAGGUCCCCCACAUUGGAGCUGAGACACGGUCCAAACUCCUACGGGAGGCAGCAGUGAGGAAUAUUGGUCAAUGGGCGAGAGCCUGACCCAGCCAAGUAGCGUGCAGGAUGACGGCCCUAUGGGUUGUAAACUGCUUUUAUGCGGGGAUAAAGUGAGGGACGUGUCCUUCAUUGCAGGUACCGCAUGAAUAAGGACCGGCUAAUUCCGUG